GUUUGGGGAAAGCGCCGAGCAGCCGCUGUUCUCAAAAACUUUUAAAGCCACGUCAAAUUUUCCAGCUUGGGCUCGUGUUGCCGGGUGGACAGACGCACCCAAACGUCCCGAUGUCCGUGUGGCACGCGCACCGAGCUCGGGCAUCGCAACACGACGGGUCUCCGGUCUCUGAACGGCAGAGUCCGUGGCAACGGCUGCUGUCCACGUACGAGACGGAUGGACUCGGUGGAGGGAUUUCUGCCGAAAGAAAUCAUCACAAACAUUGGUAAACCACCUGGUAUAUUCAUGUUUUCUGGAAGAUGUACUUUGGAAAUGUUGAUGGUGGAUUACGAUGCCAUCUUCUUCAAACAUUGCAGUGCAUCUUGACUGAGCAAUAGCCACCUCCAGCUACUGAUCUGUCUUGGUGACCAGCCCCCCCCGACCUAGUUGCGAGAGCCGUCUUCAGUGUCAUUGUGGAUGGUGCGGCAAGUACAGUCACCGUUGUACACUGCAAUGUAAAUGCCCGAGCUGUUGCUGCAUAAACCGGCACAGGAUAUGACUGCCUAACCAUUGAUGGUUGGUUUGAUGGGGAACACGGUGGUCUGGAGUCUUGGCUGGUACUGCAUGUCAGAGUUGCCCAUUUAUGAUCCUGUGUCCAGUUUUCUGUACUUUACACCUUGCGGUGUGUCUUGACCAAUAAUAAUAAUAGUCAGUGACUGCCAGCUACUGAUCUGUCCCCGUGACAAAGCCCCCUUCCCCCCCACCUCUGCCUAGUGGGAGAGCCGUCUUCUUUGUCACUGUGGAUGACACAACUAGCACAGUCACCAUUGUACCCUGCAAUGUAGAUGCCCGGGCUGUUGCUGUAUAAAAACGGCUAAGGAUUUGAUUGACUGACCAUGUGAACGCUGCAGUCUUGUAUCUUCACUGGUAUGGUGUGUCGGAGAUCACCAUUACCAUUAGUGGUUGCGUUCCAAUAUUCUUCUAUACUUCACACCUUGUGGUGUGUCUUGACUGUUAGUUAGCAACUACCAGCUACUGAUCUGUCUCAGUGAUCCAUCCAUCCCUCCCCCCUCAGCCUUGUAGGGAGAGCCGUCUUCAGUGUCACCAGCAUAGUCAGCGUUGUACCCUGCAGCGUAAAUUCCUGAGCUGUACGUUGCUGCAUACACAUGUGCGGGAUUUGACUGCCUGAUCAUUGAUGGUUGGUUUGAUGGUGAACACGUUAAUCUUGAAUCUUAAAUGGUGUGGUACAUCUGAGUUCACCAUCAAUGGACCUGUAUUCAGUCUGCACCAUCCUCGUCAUAUCACCCACCACGAUGGUUCCAUUCUUCAUGACCGCCACCUUCCAGGGGUGGAUGGAACCAUCUUCAUUGGAGGGCAUCUUCUGACCUGAAAGCUGUUCAUUUUGUUUCCUUUCUCUGAUAUUGUCUUUGAUACUUUUUUUCUUGCUGUCGAUGGUCGGUCAGAUGGUAAGCAGUGUAGCACCAUUGCCAUUAGCAAUGUCAAUAGUCUUGAACCAUUGCUGUCAACACGGUCAAUUGUCUUGAACAAUUACUGUCUGCAUGGUCAAUAGUCUUGCACCAUUGCUUUCAGCAUGGCCAAUAAUCUUUCAUCAUUGCUGUUAGCAUGGUAAUAAGGUAGCACCCUUGCUAUCGGUAACAUCUAACUCAUGAACUGCCAAAUAUGAAUAGAUUACUUGGUAUCACAUUCUCCUGGUCACAGAAUUUCUUGAUAAAUCCUCAAUAACCACCAGACUUGAAUGUUGUGUGUUGCAACACUAAUGAGUGGUCUGUGUGGAGAGAAAUAUCGAACAAUUCUCGGUUAUGUCACCUCCCCUUAGGCCUUUUUAUCAAGACAAUUUAAACUUAAUGUUUAAUUUUCAUUUCUUAAUGCUUUCAUCGUUGUUCUUAUUCUGCCACUACUUGAUUGUGCUCCUACCCUGUAUUUCCCUCUUUCUGUCUCCUCUGUCCAGCCCUUAAUUUAAAAUGCCUUUAAUGCCUUGUGAUGGGCAAACUUGAUCUAAAGAAGGACUGUAAUACGUGCAAGAAAAUGACCACCAUAGUGGUAAUCUUGAAAUAUGGAGGCUGUGUCCUUCACGUCAACAUGUCCUUCUGCAGUGUUCUCUUGAUAAGUGGAAGUGUGAGGUGUAGCAUCCAAGUACCAUUCCCAUUUCUCAAUCCAAUCAAUUCUUGAUCGCAUUGAGAAAUCACUGCAUAUUUUAUAUUGCAGUACUCUUUCUGUAUGUUUCGAUGACUGGGAUUGUCUUCAGCCCCUAAGUCAUCCUGUAUCGGUAAUAAUGAUAGAGUACAGAAAUGCGCCGUGGAAAAAGUUAGGAGUAGCACUACAUCGUACAAACUGUUAACUGAGAAUACGUGUAUUUCUUUCAGGUUAUCACCUACUAGUAGUGUAAACCAUCUCUAUGUAAACAUUCUUAAGUAGCACAUGACCUUCUUGAAGGGUCAUGCUGCAAAGGUAACCGCAAAUUGUGUGUGACUUUCCAUUCCUCUUAAAUGAAUGUGUAUUUAUUAACCAGUUGAAAUUCUUUUUGGUUAAUUGCAAUGGCAUGAGAAGUGCAUUUCUUUAAACACAAAUUUUCCAUACUUUUUUGACAACCGAGGGUGUUGUUGGUGAAAGCCACUCUUCAGAGUUCUUACAUGUCCAAGUUAAUGUUUAACCAACUAGUGGUCUGUGUAGUGAAAAGGGCAAAGCCACAAAGGUUUCCUUUCUUGCUAAACGUUACAUUAGGCCUAAACCUAUAUACAUGUACAGGUGUUCUGCAAAGUUAUUAAAUAGAUUAAUUUCACUUACCGUACUCAGGUAUCACAUUACUCACUAACUUUGGCUAAGAACAUGAACGGUAAUGCUUGUGGCAGUGCAAAUGUUCGUAAAAAAAUUAAUUCACUUGUAAACAAUAUUCCACCUUUUCACUGUAAACAAAUGCUGCAAAGACCGCAUAGCACCGUGCAGAUUGUAUACCCAGCAAGAAAUGAGACCGAGGGGUACCCCCCCCCCAACAUGUCCAAUUCCUG
rnacentral:lncRNA from 1 species